rnacentral:misc_RNA from 1 species
AACGCACCUUGCGCCCUCUGGUAUUCCGGAGGGCAUGCCUGUUUGAGUGUCAGUAAAUUCUCAACUUCGAGAAGUUUUAUUAACUUAUUGAAGCUUGGAUGUGGAGGUUUGUUGGCAUCCCUUGGAUGUUCAGCUCCUCUUAAAUAUAUUAGUGGAACCCUCCAAAUUUGUUGGGCCGCCUUGGUGUGAUAAUUAUCUACGCUUUGGUUUGGCUUUAACUCUCUCAGAUGGUCUUCUUUUUAGGGCUAUUCUGGUUGUGAUAUCGCACUAGUUUGCUUUAUCUAAAGGGAAAGUCUGCUUUCUAACUGUCUGUGUAUAUGGACAAUUUAUUGACUAUUUGACCUCAAAUCAGGUAGGACUACCCGCUGAACUUAA